rnacentral:rRNA from 1 species
ACGGUUGUCCCGGUUUAAGCGUGUAGGCUGGUUUUCCAGGCAAAUCCGGAAAAUCAAGGCUGAGGCGUGAUGACGAGGCACUACGGUGCUGAAGCAACAAAUGCCCUGCUUCCAGGAAAAGCCUCUAAGCAUCAGGUAACAUCAAAUCGUACCCCAAACCGACACAGGUGGUCAGGUAGAGAAUACCAAGGCGCUUGAGAGAACUCGGGUGAAGGAACUAGGCAAAAUGGUGCCGUAACUUCGGGAGAAGGCACGCUGAUAUGUAGGUGAAGUCCCUCGCGGAUGGAGCUGAAAUCAGUCGAAGAUACCAGCUGGCUGCAACUGUUUAUUAAAAACACAGCACUGUGCAAACACGAAAGUGGACGUAUACGGUGUGACGCCUGCCCGGUGCCGGAAGGUUAAUUGAUGGGGUCAGCGCAAGCGAAGCUCUUGAUCGAAGCCCCGGUAAACGGCGGCCGUAACUAUAACGGUCCUAAGGUAGCGAAAUUCCUUGUCGGGUAAGUUCCGACCUGCACGAAUGGCGUAAUGAUGGCCAGGCUGUCUCCACCCGAGACUCAGUGAAAUUGAACUCGCUGUGAAGAUGCAGUGUACCCGCGGCAAGACGGAAAGACCCCGUGAACCUUUACUAUAGCUUGACACUGAACAUUGAGCCUUGAUGUGUAGGAUAGGUGGGAGGCUUUGAAGUGUGGACGCCAGUCUGCAUGGAGCCGACCUUGAAAUACCACCCUUUAAUGUUUGAUGUUCUAACGUGGACCCGUGAUCCGGGUUGCGGACAGUGUCUGGUGGGUAGUUUGACUGGGGCGGUCUCCUCCUAAAGAGUAACGGAGGAGCACGAAGGUUGGCUAAUCCUGGUCGGACAUCAGGAGGUUAGUGCAAUGGCAUAAGCCAGCUUGACUGCGAGCGUGACGGCGCGAGCAGGUGCGAAAGCAGGUCAUAGUGAUCCGGUGGUUCUGAAUGGAAGGGCCAUCGCUCAACGGAUAAAAGGUACUCCGGGGAUAACAGGCUGAUACCGCCCAAGAGUUCAUAUCGACGGCGGUGUUUGGCACCUCGAUGUCGGCUCAUCACAUCCUGGGGCUGAAGUAGGUCCCAAGGGUAUGGCUGUUCGCCAUUUAAAGUGGUACGCGAGCUGGGUUUAGAACGUCGUGAGACAGUUCGGUCCCUAUCUGCCGUGGGCGCUGGAGAACUGAGGGGGGCUGCUCCUAGUACGAGAGGACCGGAGUGGACGCAUCACUGGUGUUCGGGUUGUCAUGCCAAUGGCACUGCCCGGUAGCUAAAUGCGGAAGAGAUAAGUGCUGAAAGCAUCUAAGCACGAAACUUGCCCCGAGAUGAGUUCUCCCUGACCCUUUAAGGGUCCUGAAGGAACGUUGAAGACGACGACGUUGAUAGGCCGGGUGUGUAAGCGCAGCGAUGCGUUGAGCUAACCGGUACUAAUGAACCGUGAGGCUUAACCUUACAACGCCGAAGGUGUUU